GACGAACGCUGGCGGCGUGCUUAACACAUGCAAGUCGAACGGUGAAGCGCCUUCCUUUUUGGUGGGUGUGGAUGAGUGGCGAACGGGUGAGUAACACGUGAGUAACCUGCCCCCUUCUUCUGGAUAACCGCAUGAAAGUGUGGCUAAUACGGGAUAUUCUGGGUCUGUCGCAUGAUGGGUCUGGGAAAGAUAUUGUUUCGGUGGGGGAUGGGCUCGCGGCCUAUCAGCUUGUUGGUGGGGUGAUGGCCUACCAAGGCGGUGACGGGUAGCCGGCCUGAGAGGGUGGACGGUCACACUGGGACUGAGACACGGCCCAGACUCCUACGGGAGGCAGAAGUGGGGAAUAUUGCACAAUGGGCGCAAGCCUGAUGCAGCGACGCCGCGUGAGGGAUGGAGGCCUUCGGGUUGUGAACCUCUUUCGCCAGUGAAGCAGGCCUGCCUAGUUUGUGGGUGGGUUGACGGUAGCUGGAUAAGAAGCGCCGGCUAACUACGUG
rnacentral:rRNA from 1 species